rnacentral:lncRNA from 1 species
AGAGAAAUGUCAACUCCUGGGCUUGCCUGGGCACUGAUGCAGCAUUCGCCUGAGGGCAGGAAACAUCUGCCUCAGAAAGUCACUUGGGGUGGGAGAAAGGAAAUGAUGGGCACCUCCAGGGGUGGGGAAAGGGAGUUCUUCCAAGCCCUGGUUGGCUCAGUGCUCAGGAACUGCCCUGAGGGUAAGGGUGGGCAAGACAGGAUGAGAAGACCCGAAGAAAGCUAGAAGCCUGCAGGGGCUGGGGCCCGGCUAAGGGGUGAGAUGGGAGGAUUGUGACAAUUGGAGGACAGGAGAGGAAGAGGAAAGAUGAUCUUCAGGAUCUUCCUAAUACAGAAUCUGAGGGUGCACAGCUAUGAAGGAGGAAGAGAGGAAGAUAUACCAGAUUCUCUAUAUAAACUCCAAGUCUCCUAAUUUGGGGGUUUCUCUCCUGUGAUCCAAACUCACUGCCUGCACAGGAGGCACCUGGCUCUCAUUCAUGUUGCCCUGUGGAAUUGGGCUCGAGGAACUGGGACAAAGUAUAUAGAGGAUGCAGUGGAGGGCUCUGAGAUUCCAAAGGACAAGAAAGCCACUAGCUGGAAGAAACUUGGGUUCCUGAGUGAUGCGUGGAGCAGAGCAGAGCUUCCUCACCAACCUCCAUGUGAUGGGAGUGAGAAAUAAACUUGUUAACAUUUUUUAUUACAGCAGCUAGCUAACCCUGACUAGUACAUUGUAGAAUACUCGUAUGUCCUUUGCCUCUCUGGUAGCUUCUCUGACUCCUUCCUGGAAUCCUCUUCUUUCUCUCAUCACCUGAACAAAACUAUCCCCCUAAAAAUCAGAGCCCUUCUGACCACUUUCCUCUGGGUCAGCAAGUGACCUAGUCCUGAUCUCUCUUUUGAGCUCCAGAUGCUCAUCAGCAGCUUCUUAAGGUUAACUGUCUUGCAGUUGCAUGAAGAUGCAAACCUAAGUUCAUUUUCUUCCUCCCCAAACUGAUUCUCCUAACUUAUCUUUCACUGUCACUCACUCGUCACCAGGCUUCUCCUAGUCAAACUGGCAGUACAUCCCUGUGUGUUUUCAAUUCUUCCCUCUUUCUCACCAGCUACACCAGACAGAAGACCAUCACUCCUCUUUCCCCCACAUCCAUCCCCACGCUUCUGCUAUCCUCAUGGCCGUCUCUCUUCUCAAGCCAGGUGGUGGCACCUUAAGUCCUCUCUUCAAUGCCACUCUCUCUUCCUCAAGUUACAGCACCCUGGGCUAUGGCUCUUGUGUAGACUUCUGCAAUAGCUUUUUUUUUUCUAAUUAAGAAAUAUUUUAAGCACAUGGGGAAGUGUAGAGACUAAUAUAACUAACACUUGUACCUAUCACUCAGUUUUGUCAAUCCUUAAUAUUUUGCUGUAUUUGAAAAUGAAGGGAAAAAAACAAAAUUGCUUCAAAUCUAGGAGAUGAAAAGCUUAUGUUAUCUCUUUCAUUGUAUUAGGUGGAAUUUUAUAGUAAACUUACAUAACACUAAAAUUUGUAUAUAGUGCCAUGUUUAAAUUUUUCCCCGUUCCCAUGCGUUAUUGCCUCCAUGUUGCAUCAACCACUGAUGUAAUAGAAACCUGAUAUCAAUCAACACAUACCCCAAGUGAUUUUAUAUGCAUUUUACAGAACAAAUGCCAUUGGGCUACCUAAAUGCCUCCAUGGAACUAUAUAUGUUUUUUCUAUGAUUAUUAUAAUAGACUCCUUAGAAUUAGAAAAUGUGAGGUCAUUUCUCUCUCUGACUAUAUGUGUGUGUGUGUGUGUGUGUGUGUAAAUAUAUGUUAUAAUAUAUAUUAAAUAAAUAAUUACAGGCAUAUUUGAAGCCCCCUACCAAUCCGUAUAUAAUUGCAUCUAGCUGAGAUUUGAAUUCUUCUGAUUUCUAGUGAAGUUAAACAUUAUCUAUGUGCCUUUGGUUUUUAAAUUUUCUGUGUUUUGUUUCUCCCUAUAGGUCAAUUGAAAGUGGUUUGUCCUUUUUAUGAUUUGAAUGAGUUCUUCAUAAAUUUUGGCCACUAAUCUUUAAUCAGUUCUAUGCAUUGCAAAUGCCUCUCCCUGUCGGUGGCCCAUCCUUUCACUUUGUUUCUCGUAUCUUCUUUGGACCAAAGUUUUCAAUUUUAAUAUAGCCAAAUAUGUCAUAUUAUUUUACCCUUUAUGGUUUGUGCUUUUUCACCCAGGCUGGAGCGCAGUGGCGUGAUCUUGGCUCAUUGC